AGGUGGAGGGUUUUUUGAUUUAAGGAAGGUAGAAGGAGAUCUGUUUCAGAUCUGAUCUCAUUUUUGGGGUUGUGAGGUGUGGUAUUAUAAAAGGGUGUCUAGGGUUGGUUGUUUGCUUGAAGGGUGGAAUGACUUCUAGUGGAUUUAAGGUGAAUUUUGAGAAGUUUGAUGGCAAGAGAAACUUCACCUUGUGGUAGCAGCGGGUAAAGGAGUCGUUGGUGUAGCAAUAGAUUUAUAAGGUCUUGGUAAGAGAGAGACAAAAAAAGAUCAGC
rnacentral:lncRNA from 1 species